rnacentral:siRNA from 1 species
GCGUGGUGUCCGGUGCGCCCCC